rnacentral:pre_miRNA from 1 species
AGUAAGUUGAUGGGGUCCCAGGUUGCAAACAAUCCCGGGACUACGUCAACUGCUGG